rnacentral:antisense_RNA from 1 species
CUUGAUCGACCCGAGCCACAACGGCUCUUCUCGGCCCUGGCCGUAGGUGGCCAGCAGUGCCUGUGCCUC